rnacentral:snoRNA from 1 species
UUGGCCCUGAAUCAAGGCUAGUGGCUUGUUGUAGUCACUGGUUUCAAGCAGGAGCCCAAAGGAUUGUCUUUCUGUGGUCUGUUGACUGUUCUUUACACUCAUAUUGGAAUAGUCAAUUCAGUUGAAAGCAACAUCU